GGCGUGCUGUGAUAACCCGCAUGUUUAAGUGACGCGUGCUUUUUUUUUUUGUAGGUAUGAUUUCAAUAGGCCUAAUUCUGUCUUAAACUGCGCAAAUAUGAUGCUGGUCUUUCGCUAUCUCUGAUCGGAUUAUAAUUUUUGGCGGUUUUUUUGAAUUAUGAUAUUAGGUAAAGUAUUAUUUGGUAUCACGAUUUAAUUCACAAUAUAUGGAAUACGUAAACCAAUAAGAAACGGUGAAAGACCAGCACCAUAUUGGUCUAUGAGG